rnacentral:lncRNA from 1 species
AAUUGGCAGCUAUUGAAGACUGUCAUCUCAUGAAUAAAAUUUUAACUAGUUUCAGCACGAGAGCUGCGACCAUGCUGGGGCAUCAGCGUUAGCUUUUUGCUACAUCUUCAUUAUUUGAAGCCCCCCUCUGAUAUGUGGCAUUAGGUGGAUAAGGGAGUUCUAAUCUGUUGCCUGCAUCUGCGUUUCCUACCAUGAGGUAGGUUCAUCUGGAAUUCUUGACAGGAGGCAAUCCAGUUUUGUUUUGAAUACAUCUACAUCUGACAUGUGUAAGUCUCUCAAACUGGCUCUAUAGUACAUAUGUCUUGUUUUCAAAAGUUUUGAACUAAAAUCUUCCAUCAAACCUUAGUCACAAUUUAUACUCCAAACACUAGCUUAAAGAUAACUAAGUAAUUUUACUAAAUUCUUUGCUAUAUUUAAAAUUAAUUGAAAGAAACACAGAGCAUCUCAAAAACAAUAUGGUAAAGAAAGGUUUAAAGAGCUGUAGGCCCUUGAAACCCAAGCUGUUGCAGCAUCUGGUCCUGUAUUAAGGUGGGGUGCUGGCAGGAUUGUUAGCACACUGGGCAAAAUGCUUAGCAGUAUUUCGUCUGUCUUUACAUUCUGAGUUCAAAUUCUGCUGAGGUUGACUUUGCUUUUCAUCCUUUCGGGGUCGAUAAAUUAAGUACCAGUUGUAUAUUGGGGUCAAUCUAAAUGACUGCCCCCACCACCACCAAAAUUUCGGGCCUUGUGCGUAAAGUAGAAAAAUAUCUGGUCCUGUAUCUUGGUGUUGAUGUUGGGAUCUUGGUAUUAUGCCAACUGUUGAAGAAUAUUAUAUUUUUGCUCUAAAAAUUCCGAGUUCAAAUCUCACUUUGGGCUAUUCUCAAUUCUUUAACCCAUUGGAUAUAAGUGCAGACAAGGACAGGUAGUUAAGUUUACUUCCCAACUAAGCAAUUUUGGGUUCAAAGCUUUGUGAGUGGAUUUGGGUGAUGGAAAUUGAAAAAAGCCUGUUGUAUAACUACAUGUACAUCAUUGGUGAUUUUUUCCCUCCGGCUUCCUUUUCUCUUGAACUCUCCUGUCUCCUGUUUCAGAAGAAGAGCUUUGCUCAAAAUAUAAAACAACCUUUCUUUCUUUCCCUGAGCAUCUGCUAAUACUUUCCAUGUACCAUGCCCUCACGUUGUUGUUUUUUGCUUGUGUUAUUUUCUUCAUAUUUUUUUUAUGAAUUAUAUAUUGUCUUCUAUAAUGAAUCCAUAAACAAGCAUAUAAAUACCUGUUGGUAUAUUUUUUGUUCCCCUCUAAAGAUAUUAUGCUCAGAGAUAUGAAAUUGAUAUUUAAUUAAUUCACUGUGUAUAAUUCAAACAACUCUCGAUUUGUUGUUGAUAAUAAACUCAUAUUAACUUCACAAUCUCCAUUUUCUUCUUCUUCUCUUAUAUAUACAUAUAUAUAUAUAUAUAUAUAUAUAUAUAUAUAUAUUUUUUUUUUUUCUAUUUUCUCUCCCUGUUUAUUUCUGUGUUCCUUUCUGUUGAAGUGCGUAGGCUCGAAACGCAAAAGACUUUUCCAAACUUUAAACUAAUACAUCUGUUUGUUGUUUACACACCCAUCUUUGUCUUUUGUUUUUUUUUGUAAAUUCUCACAUCAUCAUCAUCAUCAUCGUUUAACGUGAUGAUGAUGAUGAUGAUGUAGUUAGAAUUUACAAAACAAACAUAUAUAUGUGUAUGUAUGUAUGCAUGUAUGUUUCUCUCCACACCAUCACUUGAUAACUUAUUUUAGAACAUGGUUGAGUCCAUAAAAUAGGAUUUGACUACACCACCAUUUAGAGCACAGUUUAAGCUAUCUUUUUGUGGAAGAAGGUUUAUGUUCCUAUAACCUGUGUUAAUUUUGUAACCCUCUAGAAUGGAAGAUAAGAAAGUUCAUUUUCGACACUUGAUGCUUUGGGACCAGACAAAAAUUGCAGCAGCUUGGCUGGGAUGUGUUACCCCACCCUCCAUAUUCACCAGAUAUUGCUCCUUCGGAUUUCCACUUAUUCAGGUCUCUGCAGAAUAGUCUUAAUGGUAAAAAUUUCAAUUCCUUGGAUGACAUAAAAAGAUACCUUGAUGAAUUCCUUACCAUGAAACCACUUCAAUUAUGGGAAGAGGGUAUUUUCAAGUUAAAGGAAAGAUGGAGACACAUUGUGCAAGAAAAUGGUUCAUAUUUGGUUGAUUAAAAAUGUAAUACCAG